UACGUAGGGGGCAAGCGUUGUCCGGAAUCAUUGGGCGUAAAGAGCGUGUAGGCGGUCCUGUAAGUCCGCUGUGAAAGUCAAGGGCUCAACCCUUGAAUGCCGGUGGAUACUGCAGGACUAGAGUCCGGAAGAGGCGAGUGGAAUUCCUGGUGUAGCGGUGAAAUGCGCAGAUAUCAGGAGGAACACCAAUGGCGAAGGCAGCUCGCUGGGACGUGACUGACGCUGAGACGCGAAAGCGUGGGGAGCAAACAGG
rnacentral:rRNA from 1 species